GCACCAAUUAACAAACCAAACCGACGAUGGCGUCGAAUAAGACAGUCCUCAUCGUCGCGGCGAUGCUUCUCAUCACGCUCGUGCUGGAGGCUGCCCCUCCGGCGGCCGCCAUGGACUGCAAGGCCGGGUGUGACGAGGUCACGGGCCCACUCCACAUGAGCAUGGAGGACUGCAUGAAGAGGUGCAAGGAGAUAGCUGCUGAGCAGGGGCCUAGGGACCCUUACAAGGAUAACAAACUUGACAUCCCAUGAACUAGUUAAUGCUCCUAUAUCAUCUGCCUAUCCAUGCAUGCAUUGCAUUGCGUAUGCACACUGUGCGUGCCUGCCCACAAAGUUCGACAACACACCGAUCUCGAUGGAUUUGUAAUCGUGUCCACUCGAUCGAGAGAUCGAUCGAUGCUUGUUAUUAUAUUUGUAUUCCACAUUAUAUAUAAGAAAUACAAAUUAAAUUAAAUUUAUUCCUUUGUCAGGCCAUGCCUGCCUGCGUGAUUUAUUUUUCUGAGUAGUCCAUGAAUGCAUUUCGAAUCGACCACCAACACAUCCGGAUCCAUUAUUGGGAGGAUUAAAAUGCAUGGGUUAGCUGUUGCCCAAUAUUGUAUGUGAUCCCAAAUGAAAUUAAAAGUUCUAGGGUGUUGCUUCUU
rnacentral:lncRNA from 7 species